UGCAGGUUGAAGCUUUUGCUUUUACAAAGCUUAAUUUUCUAAACAUUCAUUAGAAUGUUCUACUUGUUUCAGCUGGCUUUUAUGUUUCUCAUUUACUGUUCAACUCUGACUGAGAUUAAAGGGAAAUGCACAUUCCUGAGAAUUUCUGGGACAAAGCUGUGGUGAGACUCCAUCUGUGGGUGGAGUUUCCUGCUCUUGGUGAUUUCCAGGAGAGACCAGUCACAAAGGCAGUGUCUUCUCUUUGGAAAAUGUAAACUCAUGGCUUCAGAGCUGCAAGCCUGCUCCAUGUCAGCCCAUGAAGUGCUGGCACAGGAGCACUGGGAAUUUUGUAUUGCUUCAGAAGUUGUAUGUGAAGGAGAACCUCCUGGAAUGUAUCCUAGAAAAGUCUCCUGGCCUGACUGGGAUGCAGAUAACCAGUGGAGAGGGAGUGGUUUCCUGUGGGAUUUCCCCAGAUGAGACCGCGUAGUGUACAGACAGGAAGCCGAAGUAUCGAGCCCUGACCAGAGCUUCCUCCUGCGCAAGAGUGGGGGUUUCUCUGACUUGAGCCUUCAACUCUGCUUGCAUGCUCUGAGCCUUGAAAUCUAAAGGAUAAACAGCACCCAGAUCUCCCAGCUGAGCCCUCCCAGCACGGUGAAUGGAGCGCUUCAGCAUGCCCCUCUUGCAAGACAGCAAAGUGUAGAAUAGAAAACGAGAAAUGCCAACCUGUGCUGAUUGAAGAGGAGGAAAGAAAAUGGAAGAGAAAAAGCUGAAGAGUGGGAAAAAGAUAAAAUAAAAUGAAUUUUGGGGAUUCCACUGUGAGUAAGAGCCGAAAAAAAAUCUGCUGGAAGAAGGCCAGGCACUGGAGAGAGCCAGCAGGAGUAUGAGAUACUGCCGUGUGUUGGGACAGCCUGAAAAUGGAUGUCAUUUAUUCUCAGCUUUGAGAACUGAAUUCCAUGGGUUGUAAUUGAAUCUGCUGUCAGACCCAUGGGGCUCAGUUCUUCAGCUUGGAUAUUUCUGUCUUCACAUACACAGGACAUCAAAGAAGCACUUGAUCAUUCUCUACCUCUUGUGGUGAUAGCAGCAAGCAGGAGAGGAAGCACGAGUGAUGUGAAUCAUUUCAGCAGGGAGGGGUCACUGCAAAGGCCUGACUCUCUCAGGAUAAAUAGCUGUGCAGUGAUUGAAUCUCUUCUGAACUCAGAGUCUCUGUGGUGCUACCCACUGUUUGAUUAGCUUGAUUCUUUCCUCUCAUUGUUAUCAAGGUUACAUCUGAAUCCCUGAGAAGGUCCCCAAACCCUGCUGAGUGGUGCAUUCUCCUGUGGGCAGCUGUGGUGAGCUCCUUUAAACCGUGGAACACCUGCACCUCCCUUGGGCUGAGCACUAAAUUUGCCAACUGAUAAUCCACUGUACCCUGCUCUCUUGGUACCACUGCUGUGCACUUAUUGCCUCAUUUGCUUUGUCUUGUGCCAAAUACCCGUUUUUGACAGAAGCUGUGACCAUAAAGCUGAUUUGUUUGCACCAGCCAACCAGCCCACUUCUAUAAACACAGAUUUCCUUCCCUGAGGUUAGUGACGUGCUCCCAAAGUGUUUGGUUUAGGGAGUUUCCAGUGUAAUUAGUGAUGGCAAUGUAAGUGCUGUUUGAAGGUUUGGUAGCACAAACAUCCCUCUGUGGGGGAAUUCGUUCAGGUCACAGGUUGAUUUUUUUUUUUUGGAGGACCUCUGUUAAAAUUUUUCAUUCAGGGAUCAGGAAAAGUAAUUGUUGUCUUUAAACAUGUAAAGAGUUACAAUUAGCAACGAGCUUCCCACCUCUUUCCUGCAAUAAUAACACCUAAAUGACAUUUUUCCAACUCAGUAAAGUGGAUCAUAACUGAUCUUAUCCCUGUGUUACAGAGCUCUUAAAAACAUAGAAAUGCUAAAAUCCCACAGGUGCAGGAAGAGCAUGUUCAGCUAAGUAGCUUAAAACUGCCGUGUGCCUUUCAUUCUGAAUAUGUAUUUGCACACAAAAAAAUCAGAUAUUAAUCACUGUUGCCUGUGGAUACAGAUGUACCUUCAUACUGAUAAUACUUUUCGUAUAAAUUUUUGUCCUAGGGGUUGAAGAGUUUCAAUUGCAGCUGUCUGAGAUGUAUUGUGCUCACCAGUUUAGAGAUUACAGUUCCUGAAAGAGCUCACUGGUUCCACCAGCUCCUGCUCUGGGAAUAUCCAUUAAACAGGAUGGAGAAACAGAGGAAAGGGUGAUAUUGAAUUUUUUACUUUUUAUUCUCCUCUAUCAUCCCUGUCAGAAAGAGGAAAUGAAAUUUGAGGUCAGAGUUGGCAAAAUCUUCAAAAGAAGAGAGAUGGAUGGGACAAUUUACAGUAUGUCUGAUGCAGGCAGUGUGGUGGAUAUUAGAUGCUGCAGAGCUUCAUCCUCUUCCUUCACUGUGCAGCCCAGCCUUGGGGCAGUGAUGCAGCACAGAGGGUGAUGUGUGCGUGCUGGUAACAAGGCCAUGGAUGAAAUCAAGGAGUACAGAAGUCUUUGAAAUCCCACCUGUGUGACAAAACAAAAAUGUGGUGUAAGUAAUGCCUUUUUUUUAUCAUAAGCCUAGAAUAAGUAAUGAACUAAUAGUAGCACUGUUGUCUCAAACUAAGGUAAGUAGUUAAAAUGCAGAGGGGUGAAGGAGUCACUAUCAUGCAGGCAGGGAGCACAUACAGGGCUGUUGUUACUCCGGUGAUGGCUGGUUCUUGUGAUCUACUCACUGGAGUAGAGGGUGCCCUGGGUGGGCCAGAGGGGUGUGUGUACCCCCAGGGUGAGGUUCUUCACCCCCUACAAACUCCCAGGUCACCAUACCUUUGGCAAACUGCAAAUGGGAUGGCACUACAAAAAUUUUGGCGGCCACGUCUGCGGGGUGCUGAACCUUCCCAAGUGCAUGGAGCUGGCUGUGUCCAGGGGAGAGUCAGGAAAGCUCUGUCAAGCUUUGGGCUCCAGCUCUCCAUCAAUGAGGAUGUUUCAUGUAGGAAAACUGCCUCAUAGCCUGUGUGUAAUGAAAAAAAUAGAUGGUAUUUGUGUCCUGAGCAAGUAUAUGUUCUGAUCAGAGCAUUCAUGUGGAAAAGGGUGAAGGAAAAAGCUGUUCCCAGGGUUCAUUGUUCUCAAGCCUUUUUCCUCUCAGAGCUGCUUGGAUGUUUCUGUGCUCUACAGUUGCUGCUUGGUGAGAGAACAGAAUAAAAUGAGUAGAUACAGAGCUAAUUUGAGAGCAGAUGCAAGGCUGCCUUUCAGCCCUGCAGUGACCAACCCUUCGGUGAGCUCUCCUUGGGCCCAGGCUGCUGGGGCUGCUUUUGAGGCUUGCUUGCCCUUCAUGACAAAGCAUCUUCUUUUGGGAUAUUCUUGAUAUAUUUAAACCAGAGAAGUUUUCAAGCCCCAGGCUGUCCUACUGACAUUGCUGUGCCUUUCCAGGAGAACAGAAAGUAUUUUUAGUGUGCAGUUUCAAACCAGUGUAAAUCUGUCUUUCUCAUUCUGCUGCCUCACAAUAUUCCUGUUUAUUCUGCCUCACUUUAACUGGGGCAGCCUCAGGAUGGCCCAGCCUGCACCUCACACCCCCAGCCUGCACAUGGGGGAGUGCAGGGUCACAGAGCUGAAGGUAAAAUGACUCAGUGGCUCCUGUCCUAGGUUUCUGUCAGAUGUACAACACAUCAGGUACAUUAAUGGCUCUAAAUCUUUACUGAGUCUACCAGCUCCAUGCACAGUCACCAGCAGUUGAAGCAUCACAACUCUGAUGACUGCAUCUCUUCUGGGGGAUUUGUCUGUUGAGCCAAAUGUUUCAUUCCAAAGUGAAAUUCUGAUUUUUCACUUCAUUUUUCAGUACAGAAGCGUUCAGGUGACUUCACCUGAAUUUUUUAAUGCUGAUAUAGAUUAAAACCAACUUUUGGGCACAAGUAAAGCUUUUCCUAAAAAUAUUUACUCUCUCUAUAUCUCUUUUAAACUGACCUAUGGCACCUUCUGGUGCUUAUUCACAGAUCUCACUCUCUUAAUUUUGUUCUGAAUAAAUCAAUGGGCUGAAUCCCCCUGGCACAGCUCUGGCAGACCAGCAGGGCACCUGCAUUUUGCAGAUGAGCAAACUGAGAGACCAAACACUUUAAAUGGAGAAGUUCUGAAUUCUCUUGCAUGCUUUUUGCUUUUGACUUGUGGUUUUCUGCUUACUAUUCACAACAAAUAAAUGAGGACAAACACCUACAUACUUCUUCUUGUAGGAGUGGGCCCCAGUGCCACCACAUUGCUUGUGUGGUUUGCUGCCUUCCCCUCCCUUGACUGAUAUUGUCCCCACUUCUUGGUCCUUGAUCCAUCCCUGCCUCUCUCAGGGCACAUCUCUUGAAGAUUUUUUUUUGCUUUUUUUCCCCUGUAUGUUGUGUAUUAUCUCUCUCCCUCUUUUUAAAAAUUUUAUUACCUUUUUUUUUGGCUCAUUACCUAAGAUUAUCUUCUCCUUGCUUCAAGAUAACGCUUGAAUCUGGUGGAAAAAGCAAACCUCCUGUGCUGGAGGGCCUGAUGAACUGCUUCAAAAGCAAAAUGGGAGCAAACAGCAAAGCAGCACAGAGGGAGGAGCUGCAGCAGUCCCUGGUCUGGAGGUGCUGUUGUGUUUCCCUUUGCAGGAAAAUGCUGAGUUUAUGUUGGGUUCAGCAAUCCUGAUGUCUGCACAGUUGAGAGAAGAAAUAGCACUCACUGUGAGUGUGAGUGUGCCUCUGCAGCUUUGACAGCCUCUCACCUGCCCUGGGGAAGGAAGGAACAGCAGGGCUGGAAAGCUGUGGAGUCACAAUAUGCUGACUAAGAAUAAUUUUGGAGAAAACAAGCAUACAGUCAUUGGGAAAGGAAGCUGUUUCAUUUCAAGGGAAUUUUAAAUCACAUUUGAAAUAAAAUUACCUUGUCCAGAAGAUUUGUCUGUAUGGAUUAAUAUCUGUUGCUUGCCUGUAAACUCCUCUGCUGUGCAGGUGGUGGCAGAGCAGUGCAACACGAGCCUUCAAGCAUCCCCACCCUGGCAGGAGGAAGCACUUCCACUGGGCUAUGGAGGUACCUCUCAGAAACAGGUAGUAGAUAAAUGCAGCAAUGUGCAUAAAACUGGUAAUCACUGAGAUGGUUUCUUCAGAUUCAUAAUAGUGUUUUUAAUAAUAAUCAUUAAUUUGUUGUUUAGAAAAUCACCCAAACCCAGCCAAGCAUUUCCACCUUCCAUAGAUGGCAAUUCAAUUACUGUUUUGGUGGAGUCAAAUCUCUUGAUGUUCCAUUGACAAAUUUUAUUUUAUUUAUUUUUGUUUUAUGGACUGGGACACAGGGACAUAGUUGCCUGAGGGCACAAAAUGAUUUUAUUUGAAGUUUUGUAGGACUUCUGCCACAGUUAACAUUACAGGUUGAAAGGAGGCUGUCGGUCUUGUCCUUAGAUUAAGCCUCCCCCAAACAGGUGCCCACAGUGCAGAAAUGUCUCUUUUCUGCUCACACUAUUGCACAGAACGUUGCUCUGCCUACUCAAGCCAGGGAGAGAUCCUACAGAAGAAGAAACAGCCUCCUGAUGCCCAGCAAGCACUCAACACCAUUGGAGCAAGGUCCACCUAAAUCACAGCCUUUCAGAAGCCUUCUGCCAGUGUUUUACAGCUUCACUUGUUUUUCACAUUUCCUCCCUUCUGUGUUUCCCUGUACAAGCUCAGGCAAGGAAGAGCUUUUCCUGGGAUCAGAAAUCUGUGGCUCUUGGGGCAUUUUUAAGCCCACUGCUGCCAGUCAAGCAGUUCAUUCACAAAGCCCUUCAGAGCAAGCCAAGGCUGCAGCACAUCCCUUGGUACCUGGGGACUUGUACCAGGCUGGGGCUUAGCAGUGGAAAUUUUUGUGUUUUCCAGCAUGAAAACAAAGCUCUUCUCUUGACUGAGAUCUCUGGCACUGCUGACAGCAUUUCCUGGGGUCCUGUCAACAGAGUGGUAUUUUCUCUAAAAACCAGGACCUAUAUUAAAAGUUUCUAAGCUGUGUUUAUGAAAAUCUUGGAGUCAUUUGAUUAGGAGCUUGAAUUUGGUCAGACUCCUUCCAGCUUCCCCACUUCAUUUCUGUAGGAUACUGCAGCUGCUCUGACGAAAAACAGUUAUUUAAAAAUUUGCUUGUAGCUAUGGCAACCUCCAUGCACUGUAUUUCAAUGGAAAACCUAAAACAGCAUCAGAAGUUUCUUAAUAGGAUAUUUAUGAAGAUUUUAGUCUUUGUACAUUUCAAAAUUGAAAUAUUCCAUUUUUAAAGGGGGUGUUAUCAAAAUCUCAUUAAUUUUGGAAAAUGCAUUUUUGUUGUAAGGGCUGCUGCUUAGCUUUUUUUUUUCCCCCUUUUAUUUCUUUUGUUUUGUUUUUGUUUAUGAUUCCCCUGAUUGCUUUAACUCUUCAGAGCCUAAGACCUGGAGCACUUUCCAAGUGCCAGCCCCUCCCUUCUGUCUGUGCCAGCCUCCCACUAUUUUGCAGACCCUGUUUUUUUACUGGGGGGACAGGGCAACCAGUAGUGCUGGCACAAGGGUGGAGCAGUGCUGGGGGUGUCAGACUUUGCCUUCCUGCAGUAAAUAACUCAGGGGGUUCAUUUAGCCCUUUGCUCAUGAAUUGCCUGUUGUUUGUCUGCUCUGAGAGAAGCAAAUAGAUGUGCUUGUAGUUGGGUUAUUUGGUAUCUCCGUGAUAUUUCAAUAUUGUUUCUCAAAGGCACAAACUAUCACAGGGUACUCAGGCACAGCCCCAGCAGUAUUUAACCUCCCACACAACUCACCUUGGAAAGGUUAAAUUUGCAAAUCUGCUAUUUUUCUUUUGUUUUCUUCCCUCUUCCUUUCCUCUCUGUCUUUAUGCCUUCAAACUCGAGAGGAUGAAAUUAAGGAAACCUUGCUGAAAUGCACAGUCUGCUGCCCUAAACCCCUGGAGCCAUGCUGAUACCUUCUGGUGCCUCCGAGGUGUGGAUUAGGUCUAAUUAAUACUGUUUCUUGAUCAAUGCUUCUGACACAAAUGCAUCGAAGG